rnacentral:rRNA from 1 species
GAAUGCUGACAUAAGUAACGAUAAAGCGGGUGAAAAGCCCGCUCGCCGGAAGACCAAGGGUUCCUGUCCAACGUUAAUCGGGGCAGGGUGAGUCGACCCCUAAGGCGAGGCCGAAAGGCGUAGUCGAUGGGAAACAGGUUAAUAUUCCUGUACUUGGUGUUACUGCGAAGGGGGGACGGAGAAGGCUAUGUUGGCCGGGCGACGGUUGUCCCGGUUUAAGCGUGUAGGCUGGUUUUCCAGGCAAAUCCGGAAAAUCAAGGCUGAGGCGUGAUGACGAGGCACUACGGUGCUGAAGCAACAA